GAAAACUCAACCUGAGUCUAGGAAACCCAAAAUGGUCCCUGCGCCCGUCACCCUCCAUUCACACGUGAGCGACGACCCAAAUGGGAAGAGAGAACUUUUGUUUUCUUCCUUGGACGUCCCUAUCAUCGUACAGUUCCAGCAGCCAUGGUAGCACGUUUUAUCCUUUGGAUCAAGAUCGAGUUGCGUGGCACUUCAACGAUGCUGAAUUGAUCAAAACCAUCCAUUUUCUUCCCCAUUUUGGAAUGGUUUCAGAUUUCAGAGAAAAAGCUUUCUUCCUAAAAUGGUGAAAGUUUUCACAGGUUUGAAUUUCAAAUGGGAUUUCUCCUCAUCCGAAUCUUGAUUUUUCCCAUCUCUUUUGAAAGAACAAACCUACUAUCCAUUCUAUAUAAUUUACUCAUUAUUUUAUCUAUAGAAGGGGGAUUUUUUUAGAGAACGAGAAGAAAAUACACAAAGCAGAGUAAUAGAAACAGGCACAAGGAUACUCUUAGAAAAAGGAAGACAAUCAACUUUGGCCUGCUCCUCUGUUCUUUCUUUUGCUGGCGUGUCUCCCAGUUUAUUUUUUUAGACUCAAAAAGUUCGUUUGUUUCUCUUUGCUGCUAUUUGAACUUGUGCUCGUGGGAUAGAAGUCCUCUUCUGUUCAUCAUCCCAGAACGCUGUCUCAGAGAAGGUUCAGGUUCUCAGCUUCCAGAUCACUCAGAGAUCAGUUCCCGAUCUUCUGUUCAACUACACCAAUGACACAUGUAACUAGGUUCAACAUCUGGCAAACCGUUGAUCGAGUGAGCAACUCAGAGUCAAUUGGUGAGCCUCCCAUCAUUCUGGAGGAUAUCUUUAUCAUUCAAUUAUUGUUUUUAGUUUUCACUUGUUAGGAUAAUUGGGGGUCCUCCCCCAACAUUCUUCUUUAUUUUAGAGGCUUCAUAGACUGAUAGUAUUAGUUUCUUUAAUCUUUUCAUUUCACUUGUAAAUGAUUAAGACUGAGUUGUCCUUUUGGCUAAGUAUUACUUUUAUGUAUUUCUUGAGCUUUUUCUUGUGUUUAAGUCUUCCCCUAAGUAAGUAAGCUAGGCCAAGGGUCCGCUCAAGACCAUACAACUCAUUGAUAUCAUCUAAUUUUCAUCAAGUUCUCACUUUGUUUAUUUUCAAAUAUAACUUGAUAGUAAAUGUUCACACAUUAGCAGUGAAAUGCAACAUAACUAGUUAUAAUUGCUCGGUACUUUUACAUAAUUGAACUAAAUAGGAUAUUUCCGGAUCAUUGCUCAAUUAAGAUAGAUUUGUUUUAAGAUGGAAUCAACGUGGGUGUCUCAUGUCACUUUUAAGUAUUUGGUACACAUAAUGUGGUGUAACUAUUAGAAAACAUUACUAAGAAAAUUAAAAGAUUACUGAGAAUUCUAAGGAAUGGUAUUCAAAUACCUUGGAGAAUAUCCUUCACAAAAGAUAUAAUUACACCACAUAUGAGGUCGGAGUCAAACCCCACAAGAAAUAAUGUGUCAGUGAUUGAAAAAUAAAGAAUUACAAUGUAUAAAUUUGUAUCUAAAUGAAAAAUACACAAUUAUUAUAUGAAGAUGAUUUUAGUAAUAAUCACAGAUAGAGGCGAAAGUAUUGUCAAGAAAGGAAUCUAUGCAAUUAUGAAAUGGGAAGCUAAUUGACAUCAACAUGAUCCAUUGCACAUUAAUCUCAAGCAAAUUCACUCAUAUCUAAAAUCGUAUAUGAAUUGGAAAAUCAAUGAUUCGCCUACUUCUCCAAACGUAAGCAAAUAUAUCUUAUUUAAUUCUCCUGAAUCUAGUUAAGUAGCAAUUAUGAUUAGUACAAUUCUAUGCAUAGCAUGGAUUAACUAUAUCUAGCUAUCAUUCGAUGUAUCGGUUGUUACACCUCAAAAACUAAAUUCUUCGGUAUAUCUACCACUAAUAGGAGACGUAGAAAUAGGACCAUACAUUUGAUUUAAAUUCAAUUAACAAGACUACUGGCCAGUACUUCCAAAAUAUUUAUACAACUGAGUUAAACUGAAGCUCUUUACCACUUCUUGCAAAUUGUGUAAAUGCCAUCUCCCAAGAAAAAAAAUCUAAACUUGGCAGGUCUCUAACUAGAGAGGAAGUUAAAUCAGCUAUGUUCUCCUUUCAACCCCUCAAAUCACCGGGCCCGAAUGGCCUCCACCCGCUAUUCUUCCAGAAAUUCUAGAAUGAAACGGAAUAAACAGUAGUCUCCACUUGUAUGACCGCUUUUAGUACUAGCUCUAUUUCCCCUCAAUUAAACAAGACCUUCAUUUGCCUUAUACCAAAAAUUAAUAAUCCUGAACAAAUUACCCACUAUAGGCAUAUUAGCCUUUGCAACACAAUUUACAAAACCACCACUAAUAUUAUUGUUAAAAGAAUUAGGUUAUUCCUAAAUAAUGUCAUUAGUCUGAAACAAUGGAGCUUCAUCCAAGGUCGUAGAGCACUAGACAAUGCUAUUAUUGUUUAGGAAGCUAUAUAUUCUUUCCAAAAACCUAAAGGGAAAUUUGGGAAAAUACUUCUGAAAAUCGAUCUAGAAAAGGCCUUUGAGAGAUUAAAUGGUCCUUCAUUCGGCAAUAUCUAACGAUCUCAAACUCUCCAAAUAAUAUUGCUAAACUUAUCAUGUCUUGUAUAAUAUCUUCCUUCGUAUCAAUCCUAAUAAAUGGAACUCUGAUUAGUUUGUUCCGACCAUCUUGAAGAAUAAGGCAAGGAGACCCCCUCUCACCCUACAUUAUUAUAAUCUUUAUGAAAUCUUCCUUGAGACUCAUACACUUCGCCAUCCAAGAAAGCAUUUGGCAACCUGUUAGGAUAGGUAGAAUAGGAGUUCCUAUAUUUCACCUCCUCUUUGGGAAUGACAUUAUUUUUCUUGCCAAAGCUGGCUCCAUAAAUGCGUCCUCGAUAAUCCACAACUUUAAUGCUCUUUCAAACCAAUGAGGGAAAAAAUCAAUUUCAACAAAUCCACCAUCAUUUUUUCAUCAAAUGUUACACCAUGCGAGAAAUGAAUUAUCCACUAUGAUGAAUAUCCGCCAAUCAGAAAACAUAGGUAAAUACCUAGGCCUAACGAUUGCAAACCAUCAUCCGAAAAUCCAAGACUUUCAAUACACCAUAGACAACCUAAAUAAAAAACUUAGUGGGUAGACACUAGGAUUCCUUUCCAUAGAAGGAAGAACUACCCUCAUUAAAGCAGUCCUAGCCUCAAUUCCAACUUAUGAAAUGCAAUGCAACUUAAUACCCCAAGCUACUAUUAUCGUAUAGACCGCAUCCAGAGAAACUUCCUUUGGGGUCAACACCAGAAAAGAAGAAGCUCCACUUAGUAAAUUGGGACACGUGCACCACUGUGAAGAACCAAGUUGGUCUAGGACUCUAAAACACAAGUGGUAUUAAUUUCUCACUUCUAGCUAGCUUGCACUAAAGAUGUUUAGAUAACAAAGACAAUUUGUAGGUUAAAGCUCUUUCAAAAAGUUAUAGCAAUAGGAGAAACAAUACCUAUACUAGAAAAUUUCACGCCUAUGACUCAUAUAUUUGGUAAAGCCUUACUAAAUCCUACCAACUAUUCCAAAGGUAUAUCUUGGAACAUAGGGGACGGAUAAAAAAAUCUUUGGAAUGAAAGAUGGAUUGAAGGGACUCACACUUUGUGAGAAACUAUCAAUGGACCCCUAAAUAAAUCUGUUACAGAACUUGUAGUGAUGGAUGUAAAGAGAAAUGAUUGGUAUUUAUCCAGAAUCUCCUUCGAGCUCCCUUCCCAUAUAAGAUCUUGCAUCCAUACUUAUACUCAACUUUAUAUGCCCAAAAAAGAUGAUUUUGGAAUCUUAGUAGUAGUGGUAAAUUCAGUGCAAGUAGUUCCUAUAAACUUUUCCUAGGCGCUAAUAAAAAAGACCAUAUUCAAACUCUUGUGAACUUGACUUGGAUUUGGAAACUCAAGUCUCUUAACAAUAUAAAAUUCUUUAUGUGGCUCCUCACUAUCAAUAAACUCCGUAUGUAAAACACCAAAAAAAAUUUGAACUAAGACUCGAACCAUCCUGCGUAGUAAAUAACCUUUUUCCAAGAAAGUUAAAAUUUCUUUAGUAUUAAGUUCAGGUCACUAGAUGUAGCACCUUGAGUUCUAAAAAAAUUGGAAAUAACAAAAAAUUGAAA